AUAUUUUAUGCUCAUAAUUAAUUCAGAAAGCAAAUGUGAUAUCACAAGAGAAAGACAUAAUUUUAAAUUAUAAUUAGUGAGCCACUCUUCUGUAAUAAAUAAUAAUAAAUCACCUUAAUGCCUUUGAUGAUUUGGUCAGCCAUGACAUACAUGCAUGCGGCCCAGUUUCUCUCAUGGCUUGGGCUUGGCUAGCUUCGGCUAGAGAACCAAGCCACACACGUGUCUUCACGCCAGUAACCUCCCCAAUUAUUUGCUCCCCACACGCUCAUGCAAUCAUGAUUCGACACGCUUCACUGUGGAGCAUAAUUUUUUUGUUCCUUCAUGGCUAAGCUUAAUCAAGCCCAAUAAUUCUGCGGGCCCCAUCAGCUCAUGUCACUUUAGUUUGCCUUUUGAAAAAGAAUCAUGGUGCCCACUGACUAGAAA
rnacentral:lncRNA from 1 species